UUUAGCAGAGAUGCUUUAGUGCCUUCGGGAACUCUGAGACAGGUGCUGCAUGGCUGUCGUCAGCUCGUGUUGUGAAAUGUUGGGUUAAGUCCCCGNAACGAGCGCAACCCUUAUCCUUUGUUGCCAGCACGUAAUGGUGGGAACUCAAAGGAGACUGCCGGUGAUAAACCGGAGGAAGGUGGGGAUGACGUCAAGUCAUCAUGGCCCUUACGAGUAGGGCUACACACGUGCUACAAUGGCGCAUACAAAGAGAAGCGACCUCGCGAGAGCAAGCGGACCUCAUAAAGUGCGUCGUAGUCCGGAUUGGAGUCUGCAACUCGACUCCAUGAAGUCGGAAUCGCUAGUAAUCGUAAAUCAGAAUGUUACGGUGAAUACGUUCCCGGGCCUUGUACACACCGCCCGUCACACCAUGGGAGUGGGUUGCAAAAGAAGUAGAUAGCUUAACCUUCGGGAGGGCGUUUACCACUUUGUGAUUCAUGACUGGGGUGAAGUCGUAACAAGGUAAGCGUAGUGCU
rnacentral:rRNA from 1 species